rnacentral:misc_RNA from 1 species
UUUCCGUAGGUGAACCUGCGGAAGGAUCAUUCAUAAUAAGUGUUUUAUGGCACUUUUUUAAAUCCAUAUCCACCUUGUGUGCAAUGUCAGGGUUGAUUUUUCUCUCGAGAGGAUCAGCCCCAAACAUCAACUAUAUCUCAACUCUGUCUGAAAAAUAUUAUGAAUAAAACAAUUCAAAAUACAACUUUCAACAACGGAUCUCUUGGCUCUC